rnacentral:rRNA from 1 species
GAGGUUAAGCGACUAAGCGUACACGGUGGAUGCCCUGGCAGUCAGAGGCGAUGAAGGGCGUACUAAUCUGCGAUAAGCGCCGGUAAGGUGAUAUGAACCGUUAUAACCGGCGAUACCCGAAUGGGGAAACCCAGUGUGAUUCGUCACACUAUCAUUAACUGAAUCCAUAGGUUAAUGAGGCGAACCGGGGGAACUGAAACAUCUAAGUACCCCGAGGAAAAGAAAUCAACCGAGAUUCCCCCAGUAGCGGCGAGCGAACGGGGAGGAGCCCAGAGCCUGAAUCAGCAUGUGUGUUAGUGGAAGCGUCUGGAAAGGCGCGCGAUACAGGGUGACAGCCCCGUACACAAAAGCGCAUGUGCUGUGAGCUCGAUGAGUAGGGCGGGACACGUGGUAUCCUGUCUGAAUAUGGGGGGACCAUCCUCCAAGGCUAAAUACUCCUGACUGACCGAUAGUGAACCAGUACCGUGAGGGAAAGGCGAAAAGAACCCCGGCGAGGGGAGUGAAAAAGAACCUGAAACCGUGUACGUACAAGCAGUGGGAGCCCCACCACCAAAGCAUUUGCUGUACCGCGUUGACGGAGCGAAGCG